AGAGGAAGGUGGCAUAAGUAGGAAUCGAAUAGCAGGCGCCGAAAAGCGCUUUGCAGCGAUCUACUCUGGGAGGCAAAAUCGUCCAAUAGGAAAUCGAAAUCUGUCUUGUCCAGACAGUGACUGCCCAGAGCUCAACAGCAGAGGGCUUCAGCACUUGUCUUGAAACUGGGUUUGCCUGUCAUGCUGCCGUGUUCAAUCCCUAGAAACUCCCAGUUUCUACUUCACGUUUUCCUUUCAUUCAAUCUCAGUUUUAGUAUUGCUUGUUUGAUUUCUCAGUGGAAGAUCCCUAUGGAUUAGGAGACUGUGAAUCCGGAAGACGGUUUCUAUGUCAGGUUUUUGAAGUGUUUGGGAAGUGCUUCUUCAAGCAAAAAAAUUGCAAACUUUAUGAUGAAAUCAGAAACUGAGUCUUUUGAGUUUUUUCAAUUUGUUGGGGAACUGAUGAAUGAAAGAGAUGAAGAGAAGGGAAAGGGGAACAAUGCAUGGUUUCCAUGUUGGUUGAAUCUUGGGCUUUCCCUACUUGUGAGGGCUUAGGUUACUCUUGGCAUGCGUUCGAAUUGAAUCUGGGUUAUUUGGAUUGUUGAAAGAGAUCAUCGAUUUCAUUUGUAGGAAUUUGGAGGAUGAAGUCUCGCUUAGCUCCUUCAGCCCAAUUGAUGGGUAGAAAAACCAUGUUCACAGUGAUUUAGUGAUGUGUUUUAUGUCUCUAAACAUUCCAGUGAGAUGCAUCUAGUGCAAGAAAAGAAGGGAAAUUUUACCAAACUAUAAUAAAGGGAAGCACAAUGUUAGGCACCCAAUCAUCAGCAACUUUGUGACCAUGGCUUCAGACUCUUUGCUUAGAGGCUUUCUUGUGAGGGACAUGGUUGAGAAGGAUUUUAUCUGUUCUAUCACAUAAAAAUUGAUAAAUGGCAUUCAGGUUGCUUUAAGACAGAUCCAUCAACAGUGAAGUUCUUAUGGAGCAGAAGAAAAUCCAAUUUCAUACAAAUUGGCUAUGUGGGAAGUUGGGAAAUUUGAGGAUAUACGAAUUAGCCAUGUCUGUCAGUCCAAGAAAAGUCAUGCUGACCCUUUGCUUAAGCAUCUUAGGAAAUUUGAGGAUAAACAUACACAUGCAUUAGUGUGACACGCAUGUCAAUCAUUGCAACCCAACAAUUGUUCUAUUGAUAAACUUUAUUUGGGCUACAAAUCGAAUGUUAAUUCUUAAAACCCUGACAUGAGGUUUUAGCACUUAGAAUUGGAUUUGUAUUGCUUAUGAAUAAUUAGAUGAAUGGGUAUUGUUAGAAAAGUUCUUUGAUUUC